rnacentral:lncRNA from 9 species
GUAUUACGGAAGCUGAUUCCAUGUCCUUUAAGUGACACAGCUUGUGAGGACCCUGCAGUUACUUGGGAUAAAGAAAGAUAAGGAAGAGAAAGCAAAUUCACAAACUGAAAAGAGAAGAAAGAAUAACUUAAAUUAUCACCGGUGGAUUGCAUCAUGUCAGAAUCAAGAUCAUCUGCCAACAGUUUAGGAGAAAGGGAGAUGAAAAGGCCUGGAGAAGCUUUGAGUCGUCUGCUAAGGUUGAACACUGGCUACUACAUCACUCUUUCUGUUGCUGAAGAUAAGGCUAAAAUAAAAAGGGUUAUGAUUUACUCUGUUAACGUUAAUUUGUGCUCAUUUUUUAAAUCUCAGGUUAUUCCUCGAGCCACAUCAUCUACUAACCAUUGUAAGUGAAUGUAAGACUUUAAACAUAUCCUGAAAAAAAAAAAAUGCCAACCUCACUUUAUUUAAGAAGUUUCUUGGAAUAUUUUUAAAGUUGCACAUAUAAUACCAAGACUUAAAUAAAACCCCACACCAUAACUUGUUUUAUCAUAUGAGACAAGAAAUGUGUAGAACUUGUUCAUCUCAGAACCCAAUAGCCAACUUGAGAUAAACUGAUAUCUUUGCAAUCCUGCAUUCAAUGCAUUUAUAUAGACAAUAAUAUUAUUACAGCACCUAAUGUUACUCUUUGAGUCAUCAGAGGCCUUACAAACUUUCAUUUUUAUUACAAUUUUCCCUUUCACCUAUUCUAUUUUAUAAAAUGAAACAGGUGAGUGGAAUACAGUGGAAAUCAUUCGUCAUUUGUUCCCCCUGCUUAACUCUCUACCUGUUCUUACUGUGAUUAUACUUGCAAAGUGACUUAUUUGUCAAAUUCAUAAGCAUUUUGUUUCUAAUUGCCUGACCCAGUAGAGAUAUUAUAACUUGAGAAGUAUAUAGUCUGGAGUGUUAAUCCUUAGCAUGGCCUAGUGGUCAGUAUAGAAAGUGAGUGAAUUCUUUGGGGAACCCAGAGUCCAAUUUUGAAACAGACUCCAAAUCAUAAUGCAGCUUUUUUUUUUUUCUUUUUGCCUUUUCUUGAGCAGUGCGGUGGCUUAUGGAGGUUCCCAGGCUAGGGGUCUAAUGGGAGCUGUAGCCGCUGGCCUACGCUACAGCCACAGCAACUCGGGAUCCGAGCCAAAUCUUCAACCCACACCACAGCUCACGGCAACGCCAGAUCCUCAACCCACUGAGCAAGGCCAAGGAUCGAACCUGCAACCUCAUGGUUCCUAGUCCGAUUCAUUAACCACUGAGCCACGACGGGAACUCUGAAAUCAUAUGCAGCUUUGAAGCUCUAGAUUUGCGUCUCUAGAAUUGAAAUUUUAAAGUUUAAAUUUUCUUUCAAAGUUUAAUAAGGAACUUCCUCAGUCUCUUUACUAUAUAAAACUCCAACAUAAUAUAGUCUUGAUACAUCACAUGUAAGUUGGUGGGCCACAAAUUAACAAAUACUCUAAACUCUUUCUAGUAUGAGGAACAGCGUUUCUUCUAAAUGAACCAACCCCCAGAUUGGUUUCUAGGUUCUGUUCUUAUAAUUUAAAAACUCACCAUAUUUUGAGAAACUGAAGUUCUUUGACUUCUUAUAAUACGUUACUUAAAAUGUGAAAAAGCUGCACGACCUAGCAUUUGGGUGACAUCUCACAAAUGCACCAAGUUUCCUGUUUAUAAUGCUGGUAUAAUGCAAAGGAAUUACUGAAGUUUAACUUUAUUUUUUCCCCUUUCACUAUUAAGAAUAGAAAGUCAAAUGCUGAAACUUGUUUUCCCAGCUGGGAACUUUGUUUGGAUCAAUCUUAGGUGAGAACUAAAGAAUGUAAAUGUAUAUAUAUUGGUUAAAUAAAUAGGUAAAGACAGGGGUAUUCAGGUAUCUGGAAAAGGCUUAAAACCAGAUUUUUAAAAAAGGAUCCUUAAAGAAGCAUACUUUAUUUUAUUUUAUUUUUGGUCUUUUUGCCUUUUCUUGAGCUGCUCCCGCAGCAUGGAGGCUACCAGGCUAGGGAUCUAAUCAGAGCUGUAGCCACCAGCCUACACCAGAACCACAGCAACACGGGAUCCGAGCUGUGUCUGCAACCCACACCACAGCUCACAGCAAUGCCAGAUCCUCAACCCACUGAGCAAGGCCAGGGAUUGAACCCGCAGCCUCAAGGUUUCUAGUCAGAUUCAUUAGCCACUGCACCAUGACGAGAACCCCAAGAAGCAUACUUUAAAAUGUAAGUUGAGAGUUCCCAUUGUGGCUCAGUGGUUAAUGAAUCGGACUAGGAACCAUGAGGUUGUGGGUUUGAUCCCUGGCCUUCCUCAGUGGGUUGAGGAUCUGGCGUUGUCGUGAGCUGUGGUAUGGGUCAAAGAUGCGGCUCGGAUCCCAUGUUGCUGUGGUGUAGGCCAGCGGCUGCAGCUCUGAUUGGACCCCUAGCCUGGGAACCUUCAUAUGCCACGGAAGCAGCCCUAGAAAUGGCAAAAAGACAAAAUAAGUAAAUAAAUGAAUGAAUAAAAAUACAAUAAAAUAAAAUGUAAGUUGAUUUUACCUAACUAUCAAAAAACAUUCCAUUGGUAAGAUGUAUCAUACUAUGAAUAUACUGCUUCUCCAUUAUUGAUAAAUCCAAGAAGUAGGAGUCCUUCAGUUCUUGACAUCGAAAUCUUUUCUGGACCUGACCUGGGAAAACUUUGAG